AACGAACGCUGGCGGCAUGCCUAACACAUGCAAGUCGAACGAGACCUUCGGGUCUAGUGGCGCACGGGUGCGUAACGCGUGGGAACCUGCCUUUAGGUUCGGAAUAACUCAGAGAAAUUUGAGCUAAUACCGGAUGAUGUCUUCGGACCAAAGAUUUAUCGCCUUUAGAUGGGCCCGCGUUGGAUUAGCUAGUUGGUGGGGUAAAGGCCUACCAAGGCGACGAUCCAUAGCUGGUCUGAGAGGAUGAUCAGCCACACUGGGACUGAGACACGGCCCAGACUCCUACGGGAGGCAGCAGUGGGGAAUAUUGGACAAUGGGCGAAAGCCUGAUCCAGCAAUGCCGCGUGAGUGAUGAAGGCCUUAGGGUUGUAAAGCUCUUUUACCCGAGAUGAUAAUGACAGUAUCGGGAGAAUAGCUCCGGCUAACUCCGUG
rnacentral:rRNA from 1 species